rnacentral:rRNA from 1 species
CCUACGGGUGGCUGCAGUGGGGAAUAUUGGACAAUGGGCGAAAGCCUGAUCCAGCCAUGCCGCGUGUGUGAAGAAGGCCUUCGGGUUGUAAAGCACUUUCAGUUGGGAAGAAAGCCUUGGGGCUAAUACCCUCGAGGAAGGACAUCACCCACAGAAGAAGCACCGGCUAACUCCGUGCCAGCAGCCGCGGUAAUACGGAGGGUGCGAGCGUUAAUCGGAAUUACUGGGCGUAAAGCGCGCGUAGGCGGUCUGAUAAGCCGGUUGUGAAAGCCCCGGGCUCAACCUGGGAACGGCAUCCGGAACUGUCAGGCUAGAGUGCAGGAGAGGAAGGUAGAAUUCCCGGUGUAGCGGUGAAAUGCGUAGAGAUCGGGAGGAAUACCAGUGGCGAAGGCGGCCUUCUGGACUGACACUGACGCUGAGGUGCGAAAGCGUGGGUAGCAAACAGGAUCAGAUACCCCAGUAGUC